GACGAACGCUGGCGGCGUGCCUAACACAUGCAAGUCGAGGGCUUUAGUAGCAAUACAAAGAGCACUGGCGCACGGGUGAGUAACGCGUAGAUCAUCUGCCCCUAACACUGACAUAACAGUUCUAACGGACUGCUAAUAUCAGAUGUGAUGAGCAAUCAUUAAAGGGAAACCGGUUAGGGAUGAGUCUGCGUCUGAUUAGGUAGUUGGUGAGGUAACGGCUCACCAAGCCUACGAUCAGUAACUGGUCUGAGAGGACGAACAGUCACACUGGAACUGAGACACGGUCCAGACUCCUACGGGAGGCAGCAGUGGGGAAUUUUGGACAAUGGGCGCAAGCCUGAUCCAGCCAUGCCGCGUGAGUGAAGAAGGCCUUCGGUUGUAAAGCGUACUUUCUAGCCGGAAAGAAAACGACGACAGGUUAAUAACCUGUAGCGGAUGACGGUACCGGAAGAAGAAGACAACCGGCUAACUAACGUGCCAGCAGCCGAC
rnacentral:rRNA from 1 species